rnacentral:misc_RNA from 1 species
GUAGGUGAACCUGCGGAAGGAUCAUUAACACGUAUUUUACGUUCCACACCAUGCGCUCAAGUUCCGAGUACUGAGAAAUCGAUUCACCGGCGCGAUGUAUUCGCCUUGGUGAGCCGUUGAUGACGCCUGCCUUGAGGACAUCUGUUCUUGGGGAUUGUGGUACACACCGGCUCCCUGGGCGGCAGGCCUGCGGACAUAUGAGAGGACUUCUUGAGAAGGUUCAUCCUCUCGUCCUGCUGGGACUGUUUGACUUCGCGGUUGUUUUACCGGGGUGCUCGAUACCUGGAACUUUUUUCUCUUUGAACCCCCUCAGUAACUUACAAACCAGUGUAACUAUUGGACUAAACCAUACUGUGAUUGUGAGCGGCAACGCUCCCAUCAUCUUGUACGGCAACUUAUUACAACUCUUAGCAACGGAUAUCUUGGUUCUC